AUCUCUUCUUGGCCUUUUGGCUAAGAUCAAGUGUAGCAUCAGAUCUGGUUCAUAAAUCAGCCACUCAACAUCACUUUUCUCUCUCUCAGCCUUCUGGUGCACUUGAAAUGUGUUUCUGAUUUCUUUUAAAAGGGAUCUCACUCCUU
rnacentral:snRNA from 1 species